GACUGCAGGCUGNAACCCGCCUGCACGAAGUUGGAAUUGCUAGUAAUCGCGGAUCAGCAUGCCGCGGUGAAUACGUUCCCGGGCCUUGUACACACCGCCCGUCACACCAUGGGAGUUUGUAACGCCCAAAGUCGGUGGCCUAACCUUUAUGGAGGGAGCCGCCUAAGGCGGGACAGAUGACUGGGGUGAAGUCGUAACAAGGUAGC
rnacentral:rRNA from 1 species